rnacentral:tRNA from 1 species
ACUUGGUUAGUUUAUAAAAAAUAUUAAAUUGUGGUUUUAAAGAAGUGAUUACAUUAAGUA